rnacentral:rRNA from 1 species
UACAGAGGGUGCGCGCGUUGUUCGGAAUUAUUGGGCGUAAAGGGCGCGUAGGCGGCGCGACAAGUCACCUGUGAAACCUCUGGGCUUAACCCAGAGCCUGCAGGCGAAACUGUCGUGCUGGAGUAUGGGAGAGGUGCGUGGAAUUCCCGGUGUAGCGGUGAAAUGCGCAGAUAUCGGGAAGAACACCCGUGGCGAAGGCGGCACUCUGGGACGGUACUGACGCUGAGACGCGAAAGCGUGGGGAGCGAACAGG